GUAGUCUCGCACAGACUGCAUAUCAAUAAGCGGAGGAAAAGAAACUAACAAGGAUUCCCUUAGUAACGGCGAGUGAAGCGGGAAGAGCUCAAAUUUGAAAUCUUCAAGGUUUUACCUUGACGAAUUGUAGUUUAAAGAAGUGUUUUCUGUUGAAGUUUUGGUAAAAGUUCUUUGGAAUAGGACAUCAUAGAGGGUGAGAAUCCCGUAUUUGACCAUUAUUUUCAGCUGUGUGAUACACUUUCAAAGAGUCGGAUUGUUUGGGAAUGCAGUCCAAAAUGGGUGGUAAAUUUCAUCUAAAGCUAAAUAUUGGCGAGAGACCGAUAGCGAACAAGUACCGUGAGGGAAAGAUGAAAAGAACUUUGAAAAGAGAGUUAAACAGUACGUGAAAUUGUCAAAAGGGAAGCGUUUGACACCAGUGUUGUUUUCUCGAAAAUCAAUUAAAAAGAGUUAGAUUUUGUUGUGUAUUGACCUUAACAGCUUGCAUUUCAAUUUUCUUGCUUUUUUUAAUGCACUUUUCGUUUAACAAGUCAACAUCAGUUUCUUUUGUUGUAAAAAGGUCAUUGGAAGGUGGCUUUCUUUUCGGAGAAAGUGUUUAUAGCCUUUGACUCCUGCAAUCGGAGAGACUGAGGUCUGCAGCGUAGAUCCUUCGGGGUUAGAUACAUUUGUGCUAAGUUAUAGCUUUUUAUAGACAACUUGUUGACUAUGAUUAGUCUUGUAGCUUACUCGCUUAUGCUAUUUUACCUACGCUUAGGAUGUUGAGCGCAUGUCUCUCUCU
rnacentral:rRNA from 1 species